rnacentral:tRNA from 1 species
CAGGCCAAGGCUUAAUGUCGCUUAACGCCGUUAAAGCCUCAAAGGAGAAUGGGGUUCAAGAGGUCGCCGGUUCAAGUCCGGCCGGCCCGACCA